rnacentral:rRNA from 1 species
GAUGAACGCUGGCGGCGUGCCUAAUACAUGCAAGUCGAGCGAACAGAUGAGGAGCUUGCUCCUCUGACGUUAGCGGCGGACGGGUGAGUAACACGUGGAUAACCUACCUAUAAGACUGGGAUAACUUCGGGAAACCGGAGCUAAUACCGGAUAAUAUCUUGAACCGCAUGGUUCAAUAGUGAAAGACGGUUUUGCUGUCACUUAUAGAUGGAUCCGCGCCUCAUUAGCUAGUUGGUAAGGGAACGGCUUACCAAGGCGACGAUGCGUAGCCGACCUGAGAGGGGGGUCGGACAAACUGGAACUGAGACACGGUCCAGACUCCUACGGGAGGCAGCAGUAGGGAAUCUUCCGCAAGGGGCGAAAGCCUGACGGAGCAACGCCGCGUGAGGGAUGAAGGUCUUCGGAUCGUAAAACUCUGUUAUUAGGGAAGAACAAAUGUGUAAGUAACUAUGCACGUCUUGACGGUACCUAAUCAGAAAGCCACGGCUAACUACGUG